GCCGCUCGGCGCAUUGCCAGUCUCGGCCUCCGCGCGGUCAAACCUCUGUGCACUCGUGUCGCGCUACACUUACGAACAUUUGUGAUAACUGUGCAUCGACAUGGAUAUUCUCACCCUGGACCCCACUGGACUUUAUUAAACCAACCAUGGACGUCACCACCCUCGACCCCACUGGCCAAUACUAACAUGCCCAGCAGUCUGGAUCCCACUGGUCUGUACUGAUUACUGAACCUCUAGAUUCGUAUUAGAAUGGCCGUCAAAGUACUCGAUCCCACCGGCCAGUACUGAAACGCCACCAUGAUCGGGCUAGACCCCACUGAAAUCUACUAACUUCCAUCUUCGAUGAGACAAUGUGCUGUGGAAGGAGAAGAAUCUCAACCGGCACCCGCCCCGAGGAAACCUCGUCCUGCAGGAAGAGGAGGCUUAGAGCGAGAUAGUCGACUUCACUCAUCAAUAACAAACUCAUCGCGACUGUAAAUACUAUGAAUAAAACUUAGGGGGACGUGCCCACAAGGUCAUCAGAUGGAAAACAGCUGACUGGCGCGCCGCGCGCUAUCCGGAAAUACAUCAAACCUGACAAUCGAAGCAAAAAGUUUCAGAACGCGUCAUAACUUUGAAUGUGGACUGCAUCAAGCUUCAACUUCUGAACACGUCUCCAACAGAUGCUCAUGACCUCAUCAGCUUAUCAUCCAUUCCAUCCUCCCAUAGAUCAACGUAAAAUACUCACUAGAUCUUAAGAUAUACGACUGACAACACAUCUGUGUAAUGCACAUAUCCUUCAUGCAUUUGUUUUUUAUAUAAAUUAUUUAAAUGUAAGCAUUGCCAGUUUUACUGAUAAAUAGGGGAUCGUACACCACAGUCAAUUGCGAUACUUUUUUAAACUGUCAAACCUGUUUUUUAAAAGAAAUACCCGCCUUUUGACGUCACUUCUGGGUUCUAUUUUCAAAGAUUUGAAUUUAAAUAAAAAUAGAAUGUAGCAAUGAAUUAAAAUGUGCUGGAUUUUCAUUCGUAAUUUAAAAUCGUCGUUUUUAUUUGUUUUUUUUUAUUAUGGCUUCGUGCAGUUUGCGCAUUCAGCCAGUGUCAAGUUUUUUUUUGCUCUCGAGGAAUUAUAAGAUUUGUGAAUAGUGUACGAUCCCAUAUUGUCUAUGCCCUGAAACGGUAUCAGUAAAAUGGCGCCUAGGUUAAGACUUAAAGACAAGUCAAAAGAGGCAAUGGGUUUUUUGUAGUGUUCUUCACCGCUGUAAAUUAUUGAGGAACCGUCAAAAAUUUUCCGUAUAUAGGAACUGACUUAGUUUUAGUUUUUCACCCCGUGUAUACGUAACUUCAACAUAUCCGAGUUACCAUUUAAACUUCCGCUUUGUAUGUAAAUAAGCAAGGCUUCUGCUUUUAAAUAGAUUUUAAUUCAUUUGAAACAUGUUCUGUCUCGUUCACUUUGCCUAGGAAAGAAAGAGACAACGCGUGGCAAUGAUGAUCGUAAAAAAGUUUUAAUUUGUAGAAAUCAUUUUAUAACCUUUAUUAUUUAAUAUUGUUAAAUAAAAAUGGUUUUCAUAUCCCCUACUCAUGUUUCUUUAUAAUUAUUUUCCAAAUUGCACGUUUUUCUUAUAAGAUUGUAUUAAUAAAUUUAAAAUAAUAACUAUAGUUUGUUGAAAUAAAAUGUAAUUAAUUCAGUGUUGCCUGUAAGACUGAAUUGUAUUGAGCUCGUGCAAAUAUUUUCCCUUUUCCUUAUGUAAAAGGCUCAGAGAGAUCCCACCCUAGGACGUAUAAUUAAAAUUAUUUGUAAGUAAGUAAUUAAUUAUGGAAUAAAAUUAAUGGGACAAUAAAGAUGUUUUAUAUUAUUUGCAAUUA